UGGGGAAUAUUGGACAAUGGGCGCAAGCCUGAUCCAGCCAUGCCGCGUGAGUGAUGAAGGCCCUAGGGUUGUAAAGCUCUUUCACCGGUGAAGAUAAUGACGGUAACCGGAGAAGAAGCCCCGGCUAACUUCGUGCCAGCAGCCGCGGUAAUACGAAGGGGGCUAGCGUUGUUCGGAUUUACUGGGCGUAAAGCGCACGUAGGCGGACUAUUAAGUCAGGGGUGAAAUCCCGGGGCUCAACCCCGGAACUGCCUUUGAUACUGGUAGUCUUGAGUUCGAGAGAGGUGAGUGGAAUUCCGAGUGUAGAGGUGAAAUUCGUAGAUAUUCGGAGGAACACCAGUGGCGAAGGCGGCUCACUGGCUCGAUACUGACGCUGAAGUGCGAAAGCGUGGGGAGCAAACAGG
rnacentral:rRNA from 1 species